ACUACACAAUAAUCGUGUGGGUGAGACCUGCGUUCAGGUUCGAGCCGAGCGAAGCGAGACAGCAACGCGGUAGCGUUGACCCGAAGGGCGAGUCCACAGAACGAGUAAUCCCGCACAACCCACUA
rnacentral:sRNA from 1 species